ACUCCUAAUUUUAUACUGAGCCACACUAUAACAAUAGACGUACUAAUGUUAAAACUAGUAACAAGAAAAAUUCUCUACGGCACACCCAUGCAUCAGUAAUAGAAAAUCUACUGAUAAUUAACAGACUAAAACAAGCCUAUACUACAUUUCCCGUAUUAAACAAACUGUCACACCAACACCGGGGCGCCAUAAAGAAAGAUUUAAAGAUGUAGAAGGAACUCGGCAAACAUUGUCCCAACUGUUUACCAAAAACAUAGCCUUUAGCAAUAAAAGUAUUAAAGGUCCCGCCUGCCCAGUGAAACUAUUUCAACGGCCGCGGUAUUCUAACCGUGCAAAGGUAGCGUAAUCACUUGUCUCCUAAAUAGAGACCAGUAUGAAUGGCUAAAUGAGGACAAAUCUGUCUCCUACAACUAAUCAGUGAAACUGAUCUACCAGUACAAAAGCUGGUAUAUACCCAUAAGACGAGAAGACCCUGUGGAGCUUUAAACCCAACUACUAAUAAUUAUUAUAUAGUAAUAGGUUUUGAGUUGGGGCGACUUCGGAAUAAAACAAAACUUCCGAGCACAGAACCACCAGUUCUAACCAAGGCCAACAAGCCAAAGCACAAACUGACCCAGUCACACUGAUCAACGAACCAAGUUACCCCAGGGAUAACAGCGCUAUCUUCUUCAAGAGUCCCUAUCGACAAGAAGGUUUACGACCUCGAUGUUGGAUCAGGACACCCAAAUGGUGCAGCCGCUAUUAAAGGUUCGUUUGUUCAACGAUUAACAGU
rnacentral:rRNA from 1 species